rnacentral:rRNA from 1 species
CUGAACAUGGGGGGACCAUCCUCCAAGGCUAAAUACUACUGACUGACCGAUAGUGAACCAGUACCGUGAGGGAAAGGCGAAAAGAACCCCGGAGAGGGGAGUGAAAUAGAACCUGAAACCGUAUGCGUACAAGCAGUGGGAGCACCUUCGUGGUGUGACUGCGUACCUUUUGUAUAAUGGGUCAGCGACUUAUUGUCUGUAGCAAGCUUAACCGUUUAGGGGAGGCGUAGGGAAACCGAGUCUUAAUAGGGCGCUCAGUUGCAGGCAAUAGACCCGAAACCGGGCGAUCUAUCCAUGGCCAGGUUGAAGGUGCCGUAACAGGCACUGGAGGACCGAACCCACUAACGUUGAAAAGUUAGGGGAUGAGCUGUGGAUCGGAGUGAAAGGCUAAUCAAGCUCGGAGAUAGCUGGUUCUCCUCGAAAUCUAUUUAGGUAGAGCGUCGUGUCUUACCCUGGGGGGUAGAGCACUGUUUGGGCUAGGGGGUCAUCCCGACUUACCAAACCCAUGCAAACUCCGAAUACCCAGGAGUACAAUCACGGCAGACAGACGGCGGGUGCUAACGUCCGUCGUCAAGAGGGAAACAACCCAGACCGCCAGCUAAGGUCCCAAAUACCAAUUAAGUGGGAAACGAUGUGGGAAGGCUUAGACAGCUAGGAGGUUGGCUUAGAAGCAGCCAUCCUUUAAAGAAAGCGUAAUAGCUCACUAGUCGAGUCGGCCUGCGCGGAAGAUGUAACGGGGCUAAAUUGGUAACCGAAGCUGCGGAUGCAUGCUUGCAUGCAUGGUAGAGGAGCGUUCUGUAAGCCGUUGAAGGUGAACCGAGAGGUUUGCUGGAGGUAUCAGAAGUGCGAAUGCUGACAUGAGUAACGACAAAGGGGGUGAAAAACCCCCUCGCCGGAAGAUCAAGGUUUCCUACGCAACGUUAAUCGGCGUAGGGUGAGUCGGCCCCUAAGGCGAGGGAGAAAUCCGUAGUCGAUGGGAAACAGGUUAAUAUUCCUGUACUUCUUCUUACUGCGAUGGAGGGACGGAGAAGGCUAGGCCAGCGCGGCGUUGGUUGUCCGCGUUUAAGGUAGUAGGCUGGAAUCUUAGGCAAAUCCGGGAUUCUAAGGCCGAGAACUGAUGACGAGUCCUCUUUUGGGCGAAGUGGUUGAUGCCAUGCUUCCAGGAAAAGCUUCUAAGCUUCAGGUAAGAAGGAACCGUACUGUAAACCGACACAGGUGAUCAGGUAGAGAAUACCAAGGCGCUUGAGAGAACUCGGGUGAAGGAACUAGGCAAAAUGGUACCGUAACUUCGGGAGAAGGUACGCCGGUUUUGGUGAUGGGACUUGCUCCCUAAGCUGAGGCUGGCCGAAGUGACCAGGUGGCUGCGACUGUUUAUUAAAAACAUAGCACUCUGCAAACACGUAAGUGGACGUAUAGGGUGUGACGCCUGCCCGGUGCCGGAAGGUUAAUUGAUGGGGUUAUCUUCGGAGAAGCUCUUGAUCGAAGCCCCGGUAAACGGCGGCCGUAACUAUAACGGUCCUAAGGUA